rfam:Gorilla gorilla gorilla genomic chromosome, chr11, whole genome shotgun sequence
UAGUCCCGGAGGCCACAGGACGCGCAGAGGCCGGGCGGGGCGGGAGGGGACGGGCGGGGCGGGGCGGGCGCUGCUGUCAGCCGCCAGCCGGAACUUGUACA